rnacentral:rRNA from 1 species
UACGAAGGGGGCGAGCGUUGUUCGGAUUUACUGGGCGUAAAGGGCGCGCAGGCGGUCAUUUUUGUCGAGUGUGAAAGCCCCGGGCUUAACCUGGGAACUGCGCUCGAAACGGGAUGACUAGAGAUCGGGAGAGGAGAGUGGAAUUCCCAGUGUAGAGGUGAAAUUCGUAGAUAUUGGGGAAGAACACCGGUGGCGAAGGCGGCUCACUGGCUCAUAUCUGACGCUCAGGCGCGACAGCGUGGGGAGUCA